UGGAGCAUAAAGAGCAGACAGAUUGGACC
rnacentral:piRNA from 1 species